rnacentral:rRNA from 1 species
CGGAGAGGGAGCCUGAAAAACGGCUACCACAUCCAAGGAAGGCAGCAGGCGCGUAAAUUACCCAAUCUAGAAACUAGGAGGUAGUGACAAUAAAUAACGAUGCCGGGCCUUUAUAGGUCUGGCAAUUGGAAUGAGAACAAUUUAAACCCCUUAUUGAGGAUCAAUUGGAGGGCAAGUCUGGUGCCAGCAGCCGCGGUAAUUCCAGCUCCAAUAGCGUAUAUUAAAGUUGUUGCAGUUAAAAAGCUCGUAGUUGAAUUUGUGGUGUUGCCUGUGGUCCAAAAUGUUUUGGUACUGUUGAGCACUGCCAUCCUUGGGUGGAACCUGUGAGGCAUUAGGUUGUUUUGCASGGGAUGCCCAUCUUUUACUGUGAAAAAAUUAGAGUGUUCAAAGCASGCUUAUGCCAUUGAAUAUAUUAGCAUGGAAUAAUGAGAUAGGACUUUGGUACUAUUUUGUUGGUUYGUGCACCAAAGUAAUGAUUAAUAGGGACAGUUGGGGGGUAUUCCGUAUUCCAU